rnacentral:hammerhead_ribozyme from 1 species
CUCUAGGUGAUGAGUCGCAAAUAGGACGAAAUGUGCAUUCUGGAU